UUUAUGGAGAGUUUGAUCCUGGCUCAGAGUGAACGCUGGCGGCGUGCCUAAUACAUGCAAGUCGAACGAUGAAGCUUCUAGCUUGCUAGAGUGCUGAUUAGUGGCGCACGGGUGAGUAACGCAUAGGUCAUGUGCCUUUUAGUUUGGGAUAGCCAUUGGAAACGAUGAUUAAUACCAGAUACUCCCUACGGGGGAAAGAUUUAUCGCUAAGAGAUCAGCCUAUGUCCUAUCAGCUUGUUGGUAAGGUAAUGGCUUACCAAGGCUAUGACGGGUAUCCGGCCUGAGAGGGUGAACGGACACACUGGAACUGAGACACGGUCCAGACUCCUACGGGAGGCAGCAGUAGGGAAUAUUGCUCAAUGGGGGAAACCCUGAAGCAGCAACGCCGCGUGGAGGAUGAAGGUUUUAGGAUUGUAAACUCCUUUUGUUAGAGAAGAUAAUGACGGUAUCUAACGAAUAAGCACCGGCUAACUCCGUGCCAGCAGCCGCGGUAAUACGGAGGGUGCAAGCGUUACUCGGAAUCACUGGGCGUAAAGAGCGCGUAGGCGGGAUAGUCAGUCAGGUGUGAAAUCCUAUGGCUUAACCAUAGAACUGCAUUUGAAACUACUAUUCUAGAGUGUGGGAGAGGUAGGUGGAAUUCUUGGUGUAGGGGUAAAAUCCGUAGAGAUCAAGAGGAAUACUCAUUGCGAAGGCGACCUGCUGGAACAUUACUGACGCUGAUUGCGCGAAAGCGUGGGGAGCAAACAGGAUUAGAUACCCUGGUAGUCCACGCCCUAAACGAUGGAUGCUAGUUGUUGGAGGGCUUAGUCUCUCCAGUAAUGCAGCUAACGCAUUAAGCAUCCCGCCUGGGGAGUACGGUCGCAAGAUUAAAACUCAAAGGAAUAGACGGGGACCCGCACAAGCGGUGGAGCAUGUGGUUUAAUUCGAAGAUACACGAAGAACCUUACCUAGGCUUGACAUUGAGAGAAUCCGCUAGAAAUAGUGGAGUGUCUAGCUUGCUAGACCUUGAAAACAGGUGCUGCACGGCUGUCGUCAGCUCGUGUCGUGAGAUGUUGGGUUAAGUCCCGCAACGAGCGCAACCCCCUUUCUUAGUUGCUAACAGGUCAUGCUGAGAACUCUAAGGAUACUGCCUCCGUAAGGAGGAGGAAGGUGGGGACGACGUCAAGUCAUCAUGGCCCUUACGCCUAGGGCUACACACGUGCUACAAUGGGGUGCACAAAGAGAAGCAAUACUGCGAAGUGGAGCCAAUCUUCAAAACACCUCUCAGUUCGGAUUGUAGGCUGCAACUCGCCUGCAUGAAGCUGGAAUCGCUAGUAAUCGCAAAUCAGCCAUGUUGCGGUGAAUACGUUCCCGGGUCUUGUACUCACCGCCCGUCACACCAUGGGAGUUGUGUUUGCCUUAAGUCAGGAUGCUAAAUUAGCUACUGCCCACGGCACACACAGCGACUGGGGUGAAGUCGUAACAAGGUAACCGUAGGUGAACCUGCGGUUGGAUCACCUCCUUUCUAGA
rnacentral:rRNA from 1 species